rnacentral:rRNA from 1 species
GAUUAGAGUUUGAUCCUGGCUCAGGAUGAACGCUGGCGGCGUGCUUACACAUGCAGUCGAACGAGGUUAUUACAGUUGAAGUUUUCGGAUGGAUACAGUUUUAACCGAGUGGCGGACGGGUGAGUAACGCGUGGGGAACCUGCCCCAUUCCGGGGGAUACCAGUUGGAAACGACUGUUAAUACCGCAUAAGCGCACGGUACCGCAUGGUACAGUGUGAAAAACUCCGGUGGAAUGGGAUGGCCCCGCGUCUGAUUAGGCAGUUGGCGGGGUAACGGCCCACCAAACCGACGAUCAGUAGCCGACCUGAGAGGGUGACCGGCCACAUUGGGACUGAGACACGGCCCAAACUCCUACGGGAGGCAGCAGUGGGGAAUAUUGCACAAUGGGGGAAACCCUGAUGCAGCGACGCCGCGUGAGUGAAGAAGUAUUUCGGUAUGUAAAGCUCUAUCAGCAGGAAGAGAUGACGGUACCUGCACAGAGCCCCGGCUAACUACGUGCCAGCAGCCGCGGUAAUACGUAGGGGCAGCGUUAUCCGGAUUUACUGGGUGUAAAGGGAGCGCAGACGGAAGCCAGUCAGGUGUGAAAGCAUGGGCUCACCCAUGGACUGCACUUGAACUGG